UGCAGUAGAACGCUGAAGAGAGGAGCUUGCUCUUCUUGGAUGAGUUGCGAACGGGUGAGUAACGCGUAGGUAACCUGCCUUGUAGCGGGGGAUAACUAUUGGAAACGAUAGCUAAUACCGCAUAACAAUGGAUGACACAUGUCAUUUAUUUGAAAGGGGCAAUUGCUCCACUACAAGAUGGACCUGCGUUGUAUUAGCUAGUAGGUGAGGUAACGGCUCACCUAGGCGACGAUACAUAGCCGACCUGAGAGGGUGAUCGGCCACACUGGGACUGAGACACGGCCCAGACUCCUACGGGAGGCAGCAGUAGGGAAUCUUCGGCAAUGGGGGCAACCCUGACCGAGCAACGCCGCGUGAGUGAAGAAGGUUUUCGGAUCGUAAAGCUCUGUUGUAAGUCAAGAACGAGUGUGAGAGUGGAAAGUUCACACUGUGACGGUAGCUUACCAGAAAGGGACGGCUAACUACGUGCCAGCAGCCGCGGUAAUACGUAGGUCCCGAGCGUUGUCCGGAUUUAUUGGGCGUAAAGCGAGCGCAGGCGGUUUGAUAAGUCUGAAGUUAAAGGCUGUGGCUCAACCAUAGUUCGCUUUGGAAACUGUCAAACUUGAGUGCAGAAGGGGAGAGUGGAAUUCCAUGUGUAGCGGUGAAAUGCGUAGAUAUAUGGAGGAACACCGGUGGCGAAAGCGGCUCUCUGGUCUGUAACUGACGCUGAGGCUCGAAAGCGUGGGGAGCGAACAGGAUUAGAUACCCUGGUAGUCCACGCCGUAAACGAUGAGUGCUAGGUGUUGGAUCCUUUCCGGGAUUCAGUGCCGCAGCUAACGCAUUAAGCACUCCGCCUGGGGAGUACGACCGCAAGGUUGAAACUCAAAGGAAUUGACGGGGGCCCGCACAAGCGGUGGAGCAUGUGGUUUAAUUCGAAGCAACGCGAAGAACCUUACCAGGUCUUGACAUCCCGAUGCUAUUUCUAGAGAUAGAAAGUUACUUCGGUACAUCGGUGACAGGUGGUGCAUGGUUGUCGUCAGCUCGUGUCGUGAGAUGUUGGGUUAAGUCCCGCAACGAGCGCAACCCCUAUUGUUAGUUGCCAUCAUUCAGUUGGGCACUCUAGCGAGACUGCCGGUAAUAAACCGGAGGAAGGUGGGGAUGACGUCAAAUCAUCAUGCCCCUUAUGACCUGGGCUACACACGUGCUACAAUGGUUGGUACAACGAGUUGCGAGUCGGUGACGGCAAGCUAAUCUCUUAAAGCCAAUCUCAGUUCGGAUUGUAGGCUGCAACUCGCCUACAUGAAGUCGGAAUCGCUAGUAAUCGCGGAUCAGCACGCCGCGGUGAAUACGUUCCCGGGCCUUGUACACACCGCCCGUCACACCACGAGAGUUUGUAACACCCGAAGUCGGUGAGGUAACCUUUGGAGCCAGCCGCCUAA
rnacentral:rRNA from 2 species